UGCAGUGAACAGAACAAGGUCUCAGUGUGGGAGACGCUGGAAGUGAGGUGGAGACACUGGUGACUCUGAGCCCUCCAUGACAGCUUGGGGAGCAUCGUGGUGACGCCCACACAUCACAGUUUUUCUUUGGGAAAAAUCAGUCCCUGUGAUUCCAGUGAGAUGAUCUACCCCUACCUCCAGAAGUGGACU
rnacentral:lncRNA from 1 species